UUGUUGAAGGAUGAUGAAGAGGCGAGAAUUUAUAUGGGUGCGAAUGGUUUUGUUGAAGCUUUGUUGAGAUUUUUGGAAUCGGCUUUGAAUGCGCAAAGUGAGUUUGCUCAAGAAAGUGGAGCCAUGGCUCUGUUUAAUCUUGCUGUCAAUAAUAAUAGGUAUGUAUAUGUUAGUAUUUUGAAGAAAGGUUAAAUGCAAGAAAUAGUAAUUUACUUUCAUUAACAAAUUGAUAAAAGUACCUUGCUAUUCUUGCAUUUAACCUUAAAAAAAAUAAUAAUAAACGGAAGUAGGUUGCUAUUUGUUUCAUUUAGUUGUUUUGACUACAUAUAAUUAAAGUACAUUGCAAUUUAUGAUGCUUUAUUUGUAUUUCAGGAACAAAGAAAUGAUGUUAGCUAGUGGGAUACUUCCAUUAUUGGCACAAAUGAUCGAAAGUUCAAAAUCAAUUGGAGCAGCCAUAGCUAUAUACCUGAAUCUUGCAUGUUUCGAUCAAGCAAAGCCCAUAAUAGGUUCAAGCGAAGCAGUUCCUUUCUUAAUCGAAGUUCUUCAAGGAGAUUUG
rnacentral:lncRNA from 1 species